rnacentral:rRNA from 1 species
CAGUAGCCACGGUAAUACGGAGGAUCCGAGCGUUAUCCGGAAUUAUUGGGUUUAAAGGGUGCGUAGGCGGAUAGAUAAGUCAGUGGUGAAAGACGGUGGCUCAACCAUCGCAGUGCCGUUGAUACUGUUUAUCUUGAAUAUGGAUGAGGUAGGCGGAAUGUGGCAAGUAGCGGUGAAAUGCAUAGAUAUGCCACAGAACACCGAUUGCGAAGGCAGCUUACCAAGGCAAAAUUGACGCUGAGGCACGAAAGCGUGGGGAUCGAACAGGAUUAGAUACCCCCGUAGUCCCUGUCUCUUAUCA